GACGAACGCUGGCGGCGUGCUUAACACAUGCAAGUCGAACGGAAAGGCCCUGCUUUUGUGGGGUGCUCGAGUGGCGAACGGGUGAGUAACACGUGAGUAACCUGCCCUUGACUUUGGGAUAACUUCAGGAAACUGGGGCUAAUACCGGAUAGGAGCUCCUGCUGCAUGGUGGGGGUUGGAAAGUUUCGGCGGUUGGGGAUGGACUCGCGGCUUAUCAGCUUGUUGGUGGGGUAGUGGCUUACCAAGGCUUUGACGGGUAGCCGGCCUGAGAGGGUGACCGGCCAAAUUGGGACUGAGAUACGGCCCAGACUCCUACGGGAGGCAGCAGUGGGGAAUAUUGCACAAUGGGCGGAAGCCUGAUGCAGCAACGCCGUGUGCGGGAUGACGGCCUUCGGGUUGUAAACCGCUUUCGCCUGUGACGAAGCGUGAGUGACGGUAAUGGGUAAAGAAGCACCGGCUAACUACGUG
rnacentral:rRNA from 1 species